AGCAGCCGCGGUAAUUCCAGCUCCAAUAGCGUAUAUUAAAGUUGUUGCAGUUAAAAAGCUCGUAGUUGAAUUUCGGGGUUCUACCGUUGGUCAGGCUAUUGUCUGUACUGGCGUGUAGAAUUUCUACCUUCUGGGGAACUAUUAUGUUAUUAAUUUAGCGUGAGAGGAAACCAGGACCUUUACCUUGAAAAAAUUAGAGUGUUCAAAGCAGGCUUAUGUCUGAAUACAUUAGCAUGGAAUAAUAAAAUAGGACGGUGGUCCUGUUUUGUUGGUUUCUGAAUCACCGUAAUGAUUAAUAGGGAUAGUUGGGGGCAUUAGUAUUCAAUUGUCAGAGGUGAAAUUCUUGGAUUUAUUGAAGACUAACUACUGCGAAAGCAUUUGCCAAGGAUGUUUUCAUUAAUCAAGAACGAAAGUUAGGGGAUCGAAGACGAUCAGAUACCGUCGUAGUCUUAACCAUAAACUAUGCCGACUAGGGAUCGGACGAUGUUAAUUUUUCUUGACUCG
rnacentral:rRNA from 1 species